AGAACCUAAAAUAUCGGUUUCCAUGUGCUGGAUGGUGUGCGUCCUUUAUGAAAACUUUGUAUCAGAGUACGGUUCAAAGACUUGGAAUCCAAAGCGAAGGCUGCCAAUAUCUCAAGAAUACAGAUCUGCUACGACUCGACCAGUUAAGAGGAAGUCGCAGAUGACUCCAAUGAACCAGACCAUAUGUACCGGCGAAGACAAAUUUCGAGUAAAUUACGUGAAGCAAAAAGCAUGACCAAGGAGCAAGGCGGAGCAGGAUAUUUGAUCAGGAGCCACUGCCGGGAACCCGGAUUGCAUGGGAGUGGGGGGAUGCAGAGCAGAGCAGAGGCAG